AGGAGUUUAGGUUAAACNAGACCAAGAGCCUUCAAAGCCCUAAGCAAGCCACAUAGACUUAACUCCUG
rnacentral:tRNA from 1 species